GACGAACGCUGGCGGCGUGCCUAAUACAUGCAAGUAGAACGCUGAAGGAGGAGCUUGCUUCUCUGGAUGAGUUGCGAACGGGUGAGUAACGCGUAGGUAACCUGCCUGGUAGCGGGGGAUAACUAUUGGAAACGAUAGCUAAUACCGCAUAAUAUUGACUAUUGCAUGAUAGUCAGUUGAAAGGUGCAACUGCACCACUACCAGAUGGGCCUGCGUUGUAUUAGCUAGUUGUUGGGGUAACGGCUCACCAAGGCGACGAGACAUAGCGGACCUGGGAGGGUGGUCGGCCAGACUGGGAGUGAGACACGGCCCAGACUCAUACAGGAGGCAGCAGUAGGGAAUCUUGGGCAAGGGACGGAAGUCUGACCGAGCAACGCCGCGUGAGUGAAGAAGGUUGUCGGAUCGUAAAGCUCUGUUGUAAGAGAAGAAAGAGUGUGAGAGUGGAAAGCUCACACUGUGACGGUAACUUACAAGAAAGGGACGGCUAACUACGUG
rnacentral:rRNA from 1 species